GAAAGACUACAGCAAAAACUAGACAUUUUCAGAUAGAAAUAAAGUCUAAAAUAAACUGAGGAGGAGGCCAAUAGGAACUGAAAACCCUUAAACAGAAGAAGAGUUACAUAUCCAGUUAUCAGAGGAGGGGCCUCAUAGUCAAACACUGGUAUAGACUGGGUAUACCUGCAACCAUGAGGAUGUCUCUGUAGAGGAACUACUCAGCUCUCUCACUGUCUUAUCUCUCAGUUGGUUUAUCUAUUCUGUCAGGAUGUCACUCAUAUUACUGUUUCUCCUCUCUGCAUUUGUAGCUGAUAGUAUGGAGCAGGAAACAAUAACUCCAGUGAAGCCUGAAGUCAAUGCUCUCCAAGGAACAGACAUCACUCUCUCCUGCAACUACAAGGGCAACGUUAAUAAUCUACAAUGGUACCGUCACUACCCCGGAUCUAGCCCAGAAUGUCUUCUUUUGAUCCUACCAACCAACAAGUAUGUUCAGAAUACAUCCAUUACGACUCCACGACACACUGGUAGACUGAAUGAAGAGAAGACCCGUGUUGACUUGAUGAUCUCCUCUGUUGAAUUGGAAGACUCUGCUCUGUACCACUGCGCCUUGCAGCCCACAGUGACAGGAAACCCAGACACACUGUACAAGAACCUGCCAAGACCCUUGGGGAUGAACAGUGCAUUGUGUUCUGAUCAAUCAGUUAUUAUUUAGAGUACAUUAAUACAUCUAUUUUCCCCUGCAUCUCCACAUUAAAACACAUUUAAUAUAAAUAUUAUUCAGGAAAUAAUAAUUAAUAUUGUCUGCAUCUUCCUGUUCUGAUAUAACAUGAUCAAAGAUACCAGUCUGAAUAAAUAUAGAAUGAAGAACAUUUGUGGUGUUGAUUUGCUUCCUUUUAGCAAAGGUUCACAAACUUUUUCAAUCGGUGACCCCAUUCCAGGAUUGUGGAACAUCACGCAAUGUUUAUUCAUGUGAUAUUUGAGUGACAAAACAUUAACAAUAUCUAUGGGCUAAAAA